AUUGAACGCUGGCGGCAUGCCUUACACAUGCAAGUCGAACGGUAACAGGUCUUCGGAUGCUGACGAGUGGCGAACGGGUGAGUAAUACAUCGGAACGUGCCUAGUAGUGGGGGAUAACUACUCGAAAGAGUGGCUAAUACCGCAUGAGAUCUACGGAUGAAAGCAGGGGAUCGCAAGACCUUGUGCUACUAGAGCGGCCGAUGGCAGAUUAGGUAGUUGGUGGGAUAAAAGCUUACCAAGCCGACGAUCUGUAGCUGGUCUGAGAGGACGAUCAGCCACACUGGGACUGAGACACGGCCCAGACUCCUACGGGAGGCAGCAGUGGGGAAUUUGGACAAUGGGCGAAAGCCUGAUCCAGCAAUGCCGCGUGCAGGAUGAAGGCCUUCGGGUUGUAAACUGCUUUUGUACGGAACGAAAAGCCCUGGGUUAAUACCCCGGGGUCAUGACGGUACCGUAAGAAUAAGCACCGGCUAACUACGUGCCAGCCGCCGCCGUAA
rnacentral:rRNA from 1 species